rnacentral:rRNA from 1 species
GUGACGAAGCGACGCCGCGUGUGGGAAGAAGGCCUUCGGGUUGUAAACCACUGUCGGGAGUUAAGAAAGGUGUACGGGUAAAUAGUCCGUGCAUUUGACAAAAGCUCCGGAGGAAGCCACGGCUAACUCUGUGCCAGCAGCCGCGGUAAUACAGAGGUGGCAAGCGUUGUUCGGAAUUAUUGGGCGUAAAGAGCACGUAGGCGGCCCUGCAAGUCAGCUGUGAAAGCCUCCUGCUUAACGGGAGAAGUGCAGUUGAAACUACGGGGCUAGAGUGCGGAAGGGGAGAGUGGAACUUCUGGUGGAGCGGUGAAAUGCGUAGAUAUCAGAAGGAACACCGGCGGCGAAAGCGGCUCUCUGGUCCGUAACUGACGCUGAGGUGCGAAAGCCAGGGGAGCAAACGGGAUUAGAUACCCCGGUAGUCCUGGCCGUAAACGAUGGGCACUCGGUAGAGGGGUUUUGAAUAUCUCUCUGCCUGAGCUAACGCGUUAAGUGCCCCGCCUGGGGAGUACGGCCGCAAGGCUAAAACUCAAAAGAAUUGACGGGGGCUCGCACAAGCGGUGGAGCAUGUGGCUUAAUUCGAUGCAACACGAAGAACCUUACCGGGGCUCGACAUGACAGAAGUAGGAGUCCGAAAGGACAACCAACGGUAUCCAGUCCGUAGCUGUCACAGGUGUUGCAUGGCUGUCGUCAGCUCGUGUCGUGAGACGUUGGGUUAAGUCCCCUAACGAGCGAAACCCUUGUCUUUAGUUGCCAACGGGUCAAGCCGGGCACUCUAAAGAGACUGCUGUCGUUAAGACGGAGGAAGGUGGGGAUGACGUCAAGUCAUCAUGGCCCUUAUGUCCCGGGCUGCACACGUGCUACAAUGGUCGGUACAAAGGGAUGCUAAAUCGCAAGAUGGAGCGAAACCCAGAAAGCCGGUCCCAGUUCAGAUUGGGGGCUGAAACCCGCCUCCAUGAAGGAGG